GAUUGCCUACGGGGGCAGCAGUAGGGAAUCUUCCACAAUGGGCGAAAGCCUGAUGGAGCAACGCCGCGUGGGUGAAGAAGGUCUUCGGGUCGUAAAACCCUGUUGUUAGAGAAGAAAGUGCGUGAGAGUAACUGUUCACGUUUCGACGGUAUCUAACCAGAAAGCCACGGCUAACUACGUGCCAGCAGCCGCGGUAAUACGUAGGUGGCAAGCGUUAUCCGGAUUUAUUGGGCGUAAAGGGAACGCAGGCGGUGUUUUACGUCUGAUUUGAAUGGCUU
rnacentral:rRNA from 1 species